AACGAACGCUAUCGGUAUGCUUAACACAUGCAAGUCGGACGGACUAAUUAGGGCUUGCUCCAAUUAGUUAGUGGCAGACGGGUGAGUAACACGUGGGAAUCUGCCCAUCAGUACGGAAUAACUUUUAGAAAUAAAAGCUAAUACCGUAUAUUCUCUACAGAGGAAAGAUUUAUCGCUGAUGGAUGAGCCCGCGUCAGAUUAGGUAGUUGGUGAGGUAACAGCUCACCAAGCCGACGAUCUGUAGCUGGUCUGAGAGGAUGAUCAGCCACACUGGGACUGAGACACGGCCCAGACUCCUACGGGAGGCAGCAGUGGGGAAUAUUGGACAAUGGGCGAAAGCCUGAUCCAGCAAUACCGAGUGAGUGAUAAAGGCCCUAGGGUUGUAAAGCUCUUUUAGCAAGGAAGAUAAUGACGUUACUUGCAGAAAAAGCCCCGGCUAACUCCGUG
rnacentral:rRNA from 1 species